GACGAACGCUGGCGGCGUGCCUAAUACAUGCAAGUUGAGCGAUGAAGAUUGGUGCUUGCACCAAUUUGAAGAGCAGCGAACGGGUGAGUAACGCGUGGGGAAUCUGCCUUUGAGCGGGGGACAACAUUUGGAAACGAAUGCUAAUACCGCAUAACAACUUUAAACAUAAGUUUUAAGUUUGAAAGAUGCAAUUGCAUCACUCAAAGAUGAUCCCGCGUUGUAUUAGCUAGUUGGUGAGGUAAAGGCUCACCAAGGCGAUGAUACAUAGCCGACCUGAGAGGGUGAUCGGCCACAUUGGGACUGAGACACGGCCCAAACUCCUACGGGAGGCAGCAGUAGGGAAUCUUCGGCGAUGGACGAAAGUCUGACCGAGCAACGCCGCGUGAGUGAAGAAGGUUGUCGGAUCGUAAAACUCUGUUGGUAGAGAAGAACGUUGGUGAGAGUGGAAAGCUCAUCAAGUGACGGUAACUACCCAGAAAGGGACGGCUAACUACGUG
rnacentral:rRNA from 1 species